rnacentral:piRNA from 1 species
AGGGUGGUCACACUGACCUUGCAGAGUUA